UACGGAGGGUGCAAGCGUUAUCCGGAUUCACUGGGUUUAAAGGGUGUGUAGGCGGGCUAUUAAGUCAGCGGUGAAAUCUCCGGGCUCAACCCGGAAACUGCCAUUGAUACUAUUAGUCUUGAAUAUCGUUGAUGUAGGCGGAAUAUAUCAUGUAGCGGUGAAAUGCAUAGAUAUGAUAUAGAACACCGAUUGCGAAGGCAGCUUGCUAAACGAUGAUUGACGCUGAGGCACGAAAGCGUGGGGAUCAAACAGG
rnacentral:rRNA from 1 species